rnacentral:rRNA from 1 species
CAGCAGCCACGGGAAUACGUAGGGUGCAAGCGUUGUCCGGAAUUAUUGGGCGUAAAGAGCGUGUAGGCGGCUCGACAAGUCCGCUGUGAAAGUCCAGGGCUCAACCCUGGAAUGCCGGUGGAUACUGUCGAGCUAGAGUCCGGAAGGGGCGAGUGGAACUCCUGGUGUAGCGGUGAAAUGCGCAGAUAUCAGGAAGAACACCAAUGGCGAAGGCAGCUCGCUGGGACGUGACUGACGCCGAGACGCGAAAGCGUGGGGAGCGAACAGGAUUAGAUACCCCAGUAGUCCCUGUCUCUUAUAC